AUUGAACGCUGGCGGCAGGCUUAACACAUGCAAGUCGAGCGGGGGAGGUUGCUUCGGUAACUGACCUAGCGGCGGACGGGUGAGCAAUGCUUAGGAAUCAGCCUAUUAGUGGGGGACAACAUUCCGAAAGGGAUGCUAAUACCGCAUACGCCCUACGGGGGAAAGCAGGGGAUCUUCGGACCUUGCGCUAAUAGAUGAGCCUAAGACGGAUUAGCUAGUUGGUGGGGUAAAGGCCUACCAAGGCGACGAUCUGUAGCGGGUCUGAGAGGAUGAUCCGCCACACUGGGACUGAGACACGGCCCAGACUCCUACGGGAGGCAGCAGUGGGGAAUAUUGGACAAUGGGCGGAAGCCUGAUCCAGCCAUGCCGCGUGUGUGAAGAAGGCCUUUUGGUUGUAAAGCACUUUAAGCGAGGAGGAGGCUACUAGUACUAAUACUACUGGAUAGUGGACGUUACUCGCAGAAUAAGCACCGGCUAACUCUGUGCCAGCCGCCGCGGUAAUAC
rnacentral:rRNA from 1 species